AAUAUAUGAUAUAAAGUUCUUUAAUAGAAAUCAAUUAUGAAUUAUAAGCUCAUUAUUUCAAAAUAAAAAAUAAAAAACCCUAAACGCAUUGAACUACUACACACUAUGUAGAUGGAGAUGAGGUGGACUAGAAGAUUCGUAGGCAAAGGUUGCAAUGUGUGUGGUUCACAAAGUGCUUUCAAAACCCUAAGUGUCAUUCCUCAAUCUGAUUGUGGAAUCAUUUUGCUGCAUGUUUUACAUUUGGUUACAAGUGCAAGUGCUUGGGUCUUGCCCGUCUAGUAACACCUUGUGAUUGCCUAACCACACUCACCUUGCCCACACAAGGUGACUGACGUAACCAUACAGAGUCCAUCUUGCUCUUUGCUUGUGUGCUAAACAAUUCUCCCACUCUUGUUGUUUAGAUCAGAGCUCUCAGCUAUCAUGGAAUCAAAGGAGCUUGGUUUAUUGUAUAGAAAAAAAAAAACCCUAACAUACAAAUGCUUUUUAAAUAAAAAAUUUCGCUCGUUUUCCGAACGAAUUUGAAAGCUAAUUUUCACUUCUUUCUUUCUUUUUUAUGAAUUCAUCAAAUUUUAAACUUGAAGCUGAAAAUUUGGCGAACCUUGUGACAUAGGGCUAAAGUAUAACCGGUUCUAAUGAAGGAGGAGAGUCUUCAAAAAAAUGAAAAAAUUAAAAAUGUCUUCUGAUGAAGACUUUGUUCAAAGUGGAGGUUAAGAUUGAUAUCCUGCCAUUGGAAGGUGUAAGGGAAUUAAACAAGUUUGGUCAUUGGUUGGCACAAUUAGAGGUAUAGCAUUCUUUUCUCCUAGAACAUAAGAUGGCUUUUGCUAGAUUGAGAAUGACAAAGCCUGCUUUGACUUGGUUUGAGAGUCUCUUGCAUCCCAUUGCAUUAAAGAGACAAGCUCUUAUUUUUUCUUGGGAACAAUUAAGAAGCUAAUCAAGUAACAAUUUUAUCUUCAGUGUCAUAUAGAGGAAAAUUUGAAUGGCAAUUUUUGAAGCAAGAGAUGGUUAAAAUGUACAAGAUUAUAUUAGUGAAUUCUAUAGAAGGGCCAUCAAAAUGGAAAAUGAUGUACAAUAUGAAGGAAUUCUGAUGAAAUAUAUAGGAGAUCUGCACAUCUAUCUUUAUAGGCUUGUUUCACUUUCCAAACGGUGGACGUAGAUGAGACAUGUGCUCAUGCUCAGUACUUAGAAGUAGAGGUAUGUGGUCAUGCUCACUACCUAGAAGUAGAUAAUCCUCUUGUAAGGGUAAGGGAGCCAAAGCCAAGGACUAAGAAGAAAUCAGCACUUUGUUAUGACUAUUAUGAUAAGGAUGGUCAUGAAGAAUUUUUUUUGUUGGAAGUUGCAUCUAGAAAAAAACCCUCACAAGCAAGGUAAGAAGGGUAAGAAUGCCUCCAUGCCCUCCAUGCAUGAAGAUAAUGUAGUGGUUAAAAGGGUAAGGAGAUUUAAUUCACUUAGGAAGUUGAUUCUUAAGAUUUCUUGUGCUACUAAGAAGGCUGAUUUGAUGGGUAGAGCAACAUUCUUUAAUUAAGAUACAUGUCAGUGGUUUUAAGGUUAAUGGCUUUGUUUGAUUCAUGUUUAUGAAUUAACUUAAUUGCACAAUGUUUGGUAAAUAAACUAGAUUUGAAGACUUCUCAAGCCCCUCAGUAAAAAGGUGUACAUAUGCUAGUUGAUAAGUGAUGUAAAUUGAAGUUUGUUGAUGAAAUUGUGGUAGUGAAAGAUAAGAAAUGAAGGAUUGUUGCUUAAUUAUGUAGAAUGUAAACAAUUUCACAACUAAGUACAACUAUCUUUCAAUAUGCUAUUCUUUUUGAAAAAUCUGAUUACAUUUUGAAAUAAAAGAAUAAGUUAAUCUCAAUCAUAUUUUUUCAUCAAAUAAAACUCAUAGUAGAGUUGGAAAUUGAACAAGGAACUAGAAAUGUAAAAGAUGAGAAAACAUUCUUGUUAUUGAAGAUUAGUGAACUAUGAUGGCAAGGGAACACUUAGGAAAGCUUGAAGAAAGUGCUUAGAAAGUUUGAGUAAAUUCUGAUCUGUCUAAAGAUUAGCAUUGAAGGUGGGCACUCAUUUUUUGCGGUCUUGACACUUGCGCCUAAGGGUUUGGUGCUCAUGUUUGGUAUUUUGAACUUCAUGUCCUUAGAUGUUGGCGCCUUUUGCCCCAAAUGCUUAACUUUUUGGAGUUGCUUGCUUAUUUUUGUGAGCCUUAUAGUUUAGUUUAGAUUUUUGAUCGCACUCUCCAAUAUUGAGAAAAUGUUGUGAAAAAUGAGGGGGGAAAAUAUGGUUAGAUUUAUUAGGAGACUACCUCAAUCAAUCCUUAUUUUGGCAUGUUUGAUCCUCGAUAGUAGCUUGUAAGAUAGGUAGUGAUUGUUUCCUAGUGAAUUGUGUAUUUGGUGUUGAGCAUAGAGAUUUGCACCUAUGAGAAAAUCCUUUGUAGGUAUCUAUUCUAAGGUGGAUUUUAGAGGGGAUUUUUGCAAUUUUGUGGGAGGUUUUUGGGGAACAAACCCUAGCUAUAGAAGAGUGGGAUAAUGACUUGGGGAGAGGAUAGAUUGUAGCUUCUAAAAUAAACGAAAGGAGUAGAGAUCUAUAAUGAGCUUUAACAAUGGAGGAUUGGUGAGAGCUAAUUAGAAAACUUAGUGUCAACACCUUAGGGAGAGCCCUUUUGGAAGAGUGCAAGAAAAAGAAAGCAAGAGAGAUACGGAAUUAGAGUUCCCAAAUGCCUAAAUACAAUAUUUAAGGUCAAGAUAUAUAUUAGGGUAGAAAGCUUAGUAAGGGUUUUAGGGUUUUGAAGGAGGCAGAUUUUGAAAAUUGAAUUGGACUGCAUGCAUGGGGCAUUCGUGUCCCUUGUAGACCAACAUUGGAGUUGGGUCUAGUAUCCUUUAGGAGUUGGGACCACAAACUCUAUGAAUAGGUGGGUUACAAGUUGAGGAGCCAUUGUUUGACUUGUAUGACACAUGUACUUGCUUACUUCAACUUCCAAAGGGAUUGUAAAACUUUAAUAUUUCUUGUGGGAUGUUUGUAAGUAAUUCUUGGUCUUGUACAAGCAGUGGGAGAGUUGUAGUUAGAGGUUUUUAGUAGGAACAAUUUUAAGUUUGGAAAUUGUUAUAGAAAUGGAGGCAAUGGAAGUGUAUUUUGGAGAGUUUGUGAGGUUGUAGGAGCUGUUUAUAAUGCGUCAGAGCUUUGUUUUGAAAGACCAAGGGCUGCCACCUCAUUGUAUUGCCAUUUUGAAGUACUAAGUUAGAUUGUGCUUACACCGUUGGACUUUUUUACCCAUGAGGUGUAUCUCCAAGGUAAACCUAUUUUCUUCAUGCUGUUUGUGCCUUGUUUUGCUUAACUUCUAAGUUACUGGGUUCGCCCUUGGACCCCCUUGGUACCGGUCCUGAUUCAGACAGGUCCUUGGUUAGGGUUCGGUUCGAAUUGGGUUCAACCAGGGUUUGAAAAACCUAGAGGUGGUUUGUCGCUGGUCAAACCCAGUCAAACCCAGGCAGCCCAAAAAAGCAAAAUAUAUGCAAAUAUUAAUUUUUUUUUGAAUUUCGCUUUCUAAAAAGUGAAACUUAUACCCUAAAAGUGACUUCUAAAACAUUAUAUUCACUCAUUUCACCUCAUUUGUGUUGCAAACAAAAGUUUUAUGAGAGCAAGUUGAAGAAAGGGUGAACAAAAUUUGGCUUCCAAGAUCAAAGAGGAGGAGUUGAAGACUGAUUUUUGAAGCUUCAACAAGUGUUGCAGCAUCAUUUCCAUACAUUUUUAAGCUUCCAUUGGCUGCAAGAGGUAGGUUUUUAAACAUUUUUUUCCAACUAUUUUUGUUUCACAAAUUGUCAAACAUGAAACUUGAAUUUUUUUUCAUUAUUUAGUUUUUGUUUUUGAAUAUGUUUAUAUUAUUUCUUGCCAUAGGAAUUAGAAUGGCAUCUACAUCUUCCUCCAUUGGCAACGAACAAAUAAUUACAAAACAAAGAAAUGAUCCAAAUUCUCCCUUAUGGAUGUAUGUUGACAUUAUAAAACAACUUCUAGGAGGUGCGGGAUUCCGUUGGAGAUGCCAAGGAUGUGGUAUUGAACGUAAUAGUUCAUAUUAUCGGGUGGUAGGCCAUUUGUGUGGAAUAAAAGGAAGAGGCAUCAAAAAAUGCCCUGGAAAAGAUGGUAAACCUAUACCAGAUGAGACAGUGAUGAAAUAUAUUAGGGAGCAUGAGGCGGCAAAAGAGAGAGAAGUUCGUAGAUUGAACCAAACCGCAUCAAAGAAAACAAGGGGAAUGCAAGCCCCUUCUAAUCCCAAUAUUGUAGUAGAAGACCACCCUUCUUUGCCGCAAAUGAACCUCAAAGUGAACCACCCUUGACACGUGAAAGAACAAAGGGGCCUUUAGAAACCACAUUCCAAAAUGAGAGUAGAGAAAAUGCUGACGAAGAUAUAGUAAGGUGCAUUUAUGCAAAUGGGUUGUCUUUCAAUGUUGUUCGCUCCCCAUAUUGGAAGCAAAUGAUAAAAAGUGUUAAUGAGGUUCCAAGAGGGUAUAAGGGCCCUAGUUAUGAGAAGGUAUGUGGAACAUUAUUGGAGAAAGAAGUGAAGAGGGUUGAAGAUGCAUUGAAACCCAUAAGGGAUUCAUGGGUUGAGACAGGUGUAACAAUUGUUUCAGAUGGGUGGAAAGAUGCUAAAAACCGUCCCUUGAUCAAUGUCAUAGCGGUGUCCCCUAAAGGGGCAAUGUUUUUGAAAGCUGCGGAUUGUGAGGGCCAAAUAAAAGAUGGCCAAUUUAUUGCAGAAAUUCUCAUCUUUGACAUUGAGUUAGUGGGACCCCACAAUGUUGUCCAAGUCAUAACGGACAAUGCAAAAAAUUGUAGAGCUGCUGGUUUGUUGGUUGAGCAAUGCUAUGAUCACAUCUUUUGGACACCUUGUGCGGUACAUCACUCAAUCUUAUGCUACAAAGGAUUGGGCAAAAAAUAAAAUGGAUCAGAGAUGUGUAUGCAGAGGCUGAGGACAUCCAGAUGUUCAUCACAAACCACCACAUGUGUCAAGGGAUUUUUAGAACCUAUUCGAAUUUGGAGCUAUUGAAGGUUGCUGAGACCCAUUUUGCAUCAAACACAAUCGUCUUAAGAUGACUUGUGAAAGUUAGAGUGGCACUAUGCAAUAUGGUGAUCAACACCAAUUUGACUGUAUGGAAGCAGAGUAGCACUGGGAGGGCAGAAAAAAUUAGGGAGAGUAUUGAAUGAGAAAUGGUGGGAUCUUGUUACAUAUCUCCUAAGUAUCAUUGAGCCCAUCAUGAUCAUGAUUCUCUAUACAAACAUGGAUAGGCCUUGCAUAGGUGUGAUUUAUGAUGGCAUUGACUCAAUGCUUGAAAAAAUAAAGGUCACUAUAAAUGAAAAAGAGAAUGACCCCUAGGAGAAAUUCUUCAAAGAACUGGAAACAAUUAUUGUAGAAAGGUGGAAUAAGAUGACCACUCCUUUGCAUCUUCUUGCCUAUGCCUUGACACCUAUAAGUACUAUAGCAAUCAGUUUCUUGAUAAACCAGGAAGGAUUCCACCAUGGAGAGAUCUAGAAGUAUCUGAUGGGUACAAGGCAACAUGUCUUAGACUAAAUCUUGAUGAUGAUUUGCGAGAUGUUGUUACAAAUGAGUUCAUAGAAUUUGCAAAUGGGAAUGGUCUAAGUGUUGAUGCACUUCGUCAUAGAUUCAAGAAGGAUGCUCAUAGUUGGUGGUACUUCCAUGGCACAUGCUUCCAACACCUACAACCCCUUGCUAUAAAAGUUUAAUCACAAGUUGCUAGUUCAUCUGCUUCAGAAAGAAAUUGGAGCACAUACUCUUUCAUCCACUCAGUAAAGCACAAUAGGCUGCUAUCAAAAAGAGCAGAGAAUUUAGUAUAUGUGCAUUCCAACCUACGUCUUCUUUCACACAAACAACGUGACUACACACAACGGGAAACGAAGAUGUGGGAUAUAGAGCUAGAGCAUACUGAUUUGGAUGCUCCCGCUUCUCAGCUUCUUGCAUUGACACUUGAUGACUUGGAUAUCGAGCCAACUUAUAGUGCAAGUGCAAGUGGCAUUGGCUCAUCUAAUGUCAAUGUCAAUGUCGAUGAGGAGGAGGAGGAGGAGGAGGAGGAUGAAUUAGAUGAUCCAUUUGAUGAUUAAACUUUAUAUUGUUGAAAGUUGAAACAAUGAUACUUGAAUAUUUUGUCAUUUUGAUAUUAAACUUGAUGUAUAUGAUGCUAUUAUGGUAUCAUCAUGAUGCUAUCAGCUAUGAUU